AACGCGGAUGGGGCUAAACCGGUUGCGUGUGAUACCCGGCAGGGGUUGCGUUUCCGGGGUUGUGGGACCGUUCGUCCAGGGUCUGCCGGCUCUGGCGCGUGAGGUGCGGGCGUAUAGGUGAACAGGUUUGAAUGCCUGACCGUAGAGGGUGUGAGUCCCGUAACCGUAAUGCGUUCCGCCGCGUGGUGGUGUGUUCCCGAGUAGCACGGGGCCCGAGAAAUCCCGUGUGAAUCUGCCAGGACCACCUGGUAAGCCUGAAUACUCCCUGAUGACCGAUAGCGGACCAGUACCGUGAGGGAAAGGUGAAAAGUACCCCGGGAGGGGAGUGAAAGAGUACCUGAAACCGUGUGCUUACAAUCCGUCAGAGCCUGGGCCCCUUCGUGGGGUGGUGGGUGAUGGCGUGCCUUUUGAAGAAUGAGCCUGCGAGUUAGUGUCACGUCGCGAGGUUAACCCGUGUGGGGGAGCCGUAGCGAAAGCGAGUCUGAACAGGGCGUUCAGUGGCGUGAUCUAGACCCGAAGCGAAGUGAUCUACCCAUGGCCAGGUUGAAGCGUCGGUAAGACGUCGUGGAGGACCGAACCCACUUCAGUUGAAAAUGGAGGGGAUGAGCUGUGGGUAGGGGUGAAAGGCCAAUCAAACUUCGUGAUAGCUGGUUCUCCCCGAAAUGCAUUUAGGUGCAGCGUUGCGUGUUUCUUGCCGGAGGUAGAGCUACUGGAUGGCUAAUGGGCCCUAUCAGGUUACUGACGUCAGCCAAACUCCGAAUGCCGGUAAGUGAGAGCGCAGCAGUGAGACCGUGGGGGAUAAGCUUCAUGGUCGAGAGGGAAACAGCCCAGACCACCGACUAAGGCCCCUAAGCGUGUGCUAAGUGGGAAAGGAUGUGGAGUUGCUUAGACAACCAGGAGGUUGGCUUAGAAGCAGCCACCCUUGAAAGAGUGCGUAAUAGCUCACUGGUCAAGUGAUUCCGCGCCGACAAUGUAGCGGGGCUCAAGUACACCGCCGAAGUCGUGGCAUUCAUACAGUCCCUAGCCUUCGUGGUUCAGGGGUGUGGAUGGGUAGGGGAGCGUCGUGUGGGCAGUGAAGCUGCGGGGUGACCUAGUGGUGGAGCCCACACGAGUGAGAAUGCAGGCAUGAGUAGCGAAAGACGGGUGAGAAACCCGUCCGCCGAAUGAUCAAGGGUUCCAGGGUCAAGCUAAUCUGCCCUGGGUGAGUCGGGACCUAAGGCGAGGCCGACAGGCGUAGUCGAUGGACAACGGGUUGAUAUUCCCGUACCGGCGAAGAACCGCCCCUACUGAUCCGGGGAUACUAACCGCCCCAACCGGUCACCGGGUUCCCUUCGGGGUGCCCACCGAUCGUGCGGCGUGGGACCUGAUCCGGGGAGGUAAGCGUAUUAACAGGUGUGACGCAGGAAGGUAGCCAGGCCGGGCGAUGGUUGUCCCGGUCCAAGCAGGUAGGCUGUCCCAUUGGCAAAUCCGUGGGGCGUGACGGCCGAGACGUGAUGGGACCCCCGUUCGGGGGAAUCUGGUGAUCCUCUGCUGCCGAGAAAAGCAUCGACGCGAGGUUCUAGCCGCCCGUACCCGAAACCGACACAGGUGAUCAGGUAGAGAAUACCAAGGCGAUCGAGAGAAUUAUGGUUAAGGAACUCGGCAAAAUGCCCCCGUAACUUCGGGAGAAGGGGGGCCUGCCCCGUGACGGCACUUCGCGUGCUCGAGCGGGUGUGGGCCGCAGAGACCAGGGGGAAGCGACUGUUUACUAAAAACACAGGUCCGUGCGAAGUCGCAAGACGAUGUAUACGGACUGACUCCUGCCCGGUGCUGGAAGGUUAAGAGGACCGGUUAGUGCCCCUCGCGGGUGCGAAGCUGGGAAUUUAAGCCCCAGUAAACGGCGGUGGUAACUAUAACCAUCCUAAGGUAGCGAAAUUCCUUGUCGGGUAAGUUCCGACCUGCACGAAUGGAGUAACGACUUCCCCGCUGUCUCAACCAUAAACUCGG
rfam:Tersicoccus phoenicis strain 1p05MA scaffold12_cov450_read201, whole genome shotgun sequence.